rnacentral:rRNA from 1 species
GUGUCAGCAGCCGCGGUAAGACGAACCGUACGAACGUUAUUCGGAAUUACUGGGCUUAAAGGGUGCGUAGGCUGUGCGGAAAGUUGGGUGUGAAAUCCCUCGGCUCAACCGAGGAAGCGCGCCCAAAACUACCGUGCUGGAGGGAGACAGAGGUGAGCGGAACUUAGGGUGGAGCGGUGAAAUGCGUUGAUAUCCUAAGGAACACCGGUGGCGAAAGCGGCUCACUGGGUCUCUUCUGACGCUGAUGCACGAAAGCUAGGGUAGCGAACGGGAUUAGAAACCCCCGUAGUCC